UGGGGAAUUUUGGACAAUGGGGGAAACCCUGAUCCAGCCAUCCCGCGUGUGCGAUGAAGGCCUUCGGGCUGUAAAGCACUUUUGGCAGGAAAGAAACGUCGCGGGUUAAUACCCCGCGAAACUGACGGUACCUGCAGAAUAAGCACCGGCUAACUACGUGCCAGCAGCCGCGGUAAUACGUAGGGUGCAAGCGUUAAUCGGAAUUACUGGGCGUAAAGCGUGCGCAGGCGGUUCGGAAAGAAAGAUGUGAAAUCCCAGAGCUUAACUUUGGAACUGCAUUUUUAACUACCGGGCUAGAGUGUGUCAGAGGGAGGUGGAAUUCCGCGUGUAGCAGUGAAAUGCGUAGAUAUGCGGAGGAACACCGAUGGCGAAGGCAGCCUCCUGGGAUAACACUGACGCCCAUGCACGAAAGCGUGGGGAGCAAACAGGAUUAGAUACCCUGGUAGUCCACGCCCUAAACGAUGUCAACUAGCUGUUGGGGCCUUCGGGCCUUGGUAGCGCAGCUAACGCGUGAAGUUGACCGCCUGGGGAGUACGGUC
rnacentral:rRNA from 1 species